rnacentral:rRNA from 1 species
AUUAGAUACCCUGGUAGUCCACGCUGUAAACGAUGAGUACUAGCUGUUGGAGUCGGUGUAAAGGCUCUAGUGGCGCAGCUAACGCGAUAAGUACUCCGCCUGGGGACUACGGCCGCAAGGCUAAAACUCAAAGGAAUUGACGGGGACCCGCACAAGCGGUGGAGCAUGUGGUUUAAUUCGAUGCAACGCGAAGAACCUUACCUGGUCUUGACAUCCUACGAGCUUUCUAGAGAUAGAUUGGUGCCUUCGGGAACGCAGUGACAGGUGCUGCAUGGCUGUCGUCAGCUCGUGUUGUGAAAUGUUGGGUUAAGUCCCGCAACGAGCGCAACCCCUAUUGAUAGUUACCAUCAUUAAGUUGGGUACUUUAUUGAGACUGCCGCUGACAAGGCGGAGGAAGGUGGGGACGACGUCAAGUCAUCAUGGCCCUUACGACCAGGGCUACACACGUGCUACAAUGGGUAUUACAGAGGGCUGCGAAGGAGCGAUCUGGAGCGAAACUCAAAAAGGUACUCUUUAGUCCGGAUUGCAGUCUGCAACUCGACUGCAUGAAGUCGGAAUCGCUAGUAAUCGCAGGUCAGAAUACUGCGGUGAAUACGUUCCCGGGUCUUGUACACACCGCCCGUCACACCAUGGGAGUGGGUUGCUCCAGAAGUAGAUAGCUUAACGAAUGGGCGUUUACCACGGAGUGAUUCAUGACUGGGG